rnacentral:rRNA from 1 species
CAAUAACGUAUAUUAAAGUUGUUGCGGUUAAAAAGCUCGUAGUUGGAUUUCUGUUGAAAGCGAUCGGUCCCCUCUCUGAGGGCGUAUCUGACUCGCUUUUGGCAUCCUCCUGUAGCACGUUUCUGUCCUUCACUGGAUGGAGCGGGAUGCAGGACUUUUACUUUGAGGAAAUUCGAGUGUUCACAGCAGGCAAUCGCCCUGAAGAUAUUAGCAUGGAAUAAUAAUAUAGGACCUUGGUUCUAUUUUGUUGGUUUCUAGAGCUGAGGUAAUGAUUAAUAGGGAUAUUUGGGGGCAUUAGUACUUAACUGUCAGAGGUGAAAUUCUCCGAUUUGUUAAAGACUAACUUAUGCGAAAGCAUUUGCCAAGGAUGUUUUCAUUAAUCAAGAACGAAAGUUAGGGGAUCAAAGACGAUUAGAUACCGU